rnacentral:misc_RNA from 1 species
AGGUCGUAACAAGGUUUUCGUAGGUGAACCUGCGGAAGGAUCAUUAGUGAAUACUGGACUCUGCCUCUGAAAAGAGAAAGUUUCCUUUCCACUACCACACACACUUGUGCAUCUGUUCUUCUUGCAAGUUACUUGUAAAGGAUUUUAACACUUGUGCUAAAUACUAAUGUCGUUGAUGUAAACAAUUUGAUAAAUGAAAGAAAAA